rnacentral:rRNA from 1 species
UACGUAGGGUGCAAGCGUUAUCCGGAAUUAUUGGGCGUAAAGAGCUCGUAGGCGGUUUGUCGCGUCUGCUGUGAAAACUGGAGGCUCAACCCCCAGCCUGCAGUGGGUACGGGCAGACUAGAGUGCGGUAGGGGAGAUUGGAAUUCCUGGUGUAGCGGUGAAAUGCGCAGAUAUCAGGAGGAACACCGGUGGCGAAGGCGGGUCUCUGGGCAACAACUGACGCUGAGGAGCGAAAGCGUGGGGAGCGAACAGG